CAACCCUUAAGCCCUAGUUGCUUAGCGUUGGGAGCCUUACGCCGUAGGCGUAAACUCCUCAAAGUUAUUGGCAGAGUUACGACAUACUCUAAGCGUAGUAAUAUUUUCUCGCUUCUGAAAGUGUCGUGGCAAUCGCCAUAAGCCUCUAUAUUUCUAGU
rnacentral:misc_RNA from 1 species